GCCGGAAUAGCUCAGUUGGUAGAGCAGAGGACUGAAAAUCCU
rnacentral:tRNA from 5 species